GUUGCGGUGUCCAAUAAACCUGCUUAAAGGGACACUCCAGUGCCAGGAAAACAAAUCAUUUUCCUGGCACUGCAGGUACCCUCUCCCUUGCACCCCCCAUCCCAUGUUGCUGAAGGGGUGAAAACCCCUUCAGUGACUUGCCGGAGACCACCGACGAUGUCCCUCGGUGGUGGUUUAGGUUGGGCACACACUCGGCGGGGGAGACCGAUUGUGCAUGCGCAGCCACCGGCGGGAUGAG